GCCACGUGCUUCCCAGCUGACAGAAGUGUUCCAGGCACCAUCAGCCUUUCUUCAGUGGAGGAGCCAACAAUUGUCUCCAUUCACCCUUGUGGCCUCAGUCACCCCCAUCCUUUCUCACCUGUCCCGCGGGCAUCCAGCCCAGGUAACAGAUGAAGCGACUUCUCUCCUCUGCCUCUGGAGUGAUGCCGGCUACGUGCCGUCCUCGGGAGCACUGAGGGGACAAGGGGACAAGAUUCAGAGGAAACGAGGACCCUCCCGGGGAGGCUCACAGCUCCGUCUCCCACAUGCUGCCCUGAGAGCGUCUGCUCUGAGCCGCAGAAACCCGGGAGAAUAAAAACUGGAGUGAAGCGUUUUGUUGAAUGAAAUCACAAAUAAAAAUUAUUUA